rnacentral:lncRNA from 1 species
CUUCAACACAGAGCAUUGGCUCACACCAAACAGCAAGUUAUAAAGGUCUCCCAAAAAGACUAGUUUAAAACCAAUCAAAUGGGAACACAAACAAUCUAAUCUAUAUAUGUAACACCCAAACGUGUCCUUCCCCCAAACGUGUCCGAUUCUCCCAAACGUGUCUUUUCUCCCUAAACGUGUCCGAAAUGUACAAUAUUUCCCAAACGUGUCCGAUUUCAUAACCCCCAAACGUGUCCGAUAAUUGUUAUUCGCCAAAUCGUGUCCAAUAUUUAACGCCAAAACGUUACACGUCUUUUAGCGCUUUUACAUGUAUCUCUUAAAUAAAAUCGCUGAUAACGUUUACGGCAAUUCUAUGAUGGGAGACACACGUGAUGAAGAUGUCAUUUAUCAGAUUAAGUUAGUUCGAUGUAGGUUUUUAAUGAUUAUAAUAAUUGCAAAAUUAAUCUGUUAUUAUUAAGUAACUUUGACUGCAGUUGUUUAUUGUCCAGUUGCAAGUAUUUCAUAUUCGUUUAGAGCGAACAUACACAUAGUUCUGGAGUUGAAUUAAUCGUUAACUUUGAUAAUUAUUUUGUACUUAUAAACUCCGAUGAUUGCCUUUUAUAUUUAUCCGAAUAUUGCAUGGCGGGGUUUUAACAGUAUUUUUUUUUACUUUUGUCAAUAGUUUGUGUGUAUUUCAAAAGCCCAUCAAAUUAUAAACUUGUUAUCCGGGUUUUUAAUAAAUUUUAGGUUUCCACCAUCACUAAAGACACACGAUAAGAAACAUAACGUCCAGUGCCAAAUAUUUCAUGCAUAAGUUUUAUAGAUUCUUUUUUUUUAUGAAUAUUACUGUUAUGUGAUCAACGCCGGUUUUAAAUGCAAAUUUAUUUUGUAGUGUAUAAAUAAACUUUAGAAUGUUGAUUACGUAUUGUCCAGUUGCAAGUACUUUAUGCAUAUUUAGAGCGCACAAUAGUUUUGCAAGUUUUAAUGUUUUUACAGUUGUACUGUACACAUUAACUUUAAACUAAACUUUAAACUGAUGAUCGCGUAUUGUCCAGUUGCAAGUAUGUCAUGCAUAUUUAGAGAGAACAUACAAGUUUUAAUGUUUUUGCAGUUCUAUUUAGAGAGAACAUAGGCUACCUGUUUUUUUUUUUUUUUUUUUUUUACAUUUUAACAUACAUGUUUUAAUGUUUUUACUGUUCUUUUGUUAAGAUAAACUCUAGACUGCUGGUUGCAUAUUGUCCAGUUGCAAGUAUUUCAUGCAAAUUAGAGAAAACAUACAAGUUUUAAUGUUUUUUUUCAGUUCUACUGAAUAAAUUAACUUUAGACUGUUGAUUGCGAAUUGUCCAGUUGUCAGUAUUUCAUGCAUAAUUAGAGAGAACAUUAAAGUUUUAACGCGCAGAGAAAGGGACACUUUGACCCGUUAACUGUACUGUUUAACUCAACAUGUUUGCUUACAAUUUACAAACGAAAUAGCCGAAAUGACGCCCCCACUUUAAGCCAGUUUAAUUCUUCCGUUUUGAAAAAGUACUAACGUGCUUAUGUAUAUUUUUAAUGAAAUGGUAAAAUUAGUAUACGUUAAUGAAAUAGCAAUAACCAAAUAACGCUUGAUAUGGACACGUUUUGGGGAUUGGACACGUUUGGGGGUUAGUUGAGAAAUGGACACGUUUGGGCGUUUAUACAAAUGACACGCUUUGGCGCAGUUUUCAACUAGACAUGUUUGGGGGAAUCGGACACGUUUGGGGGAAGGACACGUUUCUGAGUGUUACAUCAUAUAUGUAACUCACUAGAUGUUUUAUCUUAGAUAUAUACAAAUCAAAUCAUUAGUAUUUUAUCAUAUCAACCAUGAGUAGGAGGCAGUAUCACUUUACAGUAAUACAGAAAGUUCUGUUUAGGAGGAUUAAUUGAGUAAUGGCAAU